rnacentral:lncRNA from 1 species
AAUGGCAAUAUGGCUAUGAUCUCCGAGCGUAUCGGGUGGGAUAUUUUCCUUGCCUAAUAUAAUUGGCGUGAUUUGGUCCAUCUCAGAGUAAUUAAUACAUGCAUAAUUUUUUGUGAGUUGUACAAUAGUUUGUUUCACUUUAGUAGAGAGAGAAAUAAAAAUAAAAACUAUGGAAGAGAUUAAUUACCCAUGGCUGAUGUUGCAGGUAAUGUUUCAGUCGAAGUACAUGAAUUGCUACUAUUUUUGGAUGUAGCCUUCUUCCGUUGUCAGUAGUUACAUAUGUAUUCACGCUUUUUCCUAUUGAUCUCUUCUCUUUGUUCGCUGGACCUCUCAGCUCGAUGAAUUCGCAACCGCUCUCUUCUUUCUUCCCUCCUCCGCGAAGCGUCAUCUAAAGUGGCAUUUGAGUAGUAUAACAGAAUAUUAGAAAGACACCCAAAGGUGUUGUACACAUACAUAUUGAAAGUAUAUCUAACACAUCGCGUGUAUCUUCGAGCAUAGACAUUGCGAAAUAUCAGCGAGGAUUUCUAUCUGGCAGUAGCGGU